GUAAUGUAUAGGAUCUACCUAGUAGUACGGAAUAAUUGUUGGAAACGACAACUAAUACCGUAUACGCCCUACGGGGGAAAAAUUUAUUGCUAUUAGAUGAGCCUAUAUUAGAUUAGCUAGUUGGUGGGGUAAUAGCCUACCAAGGUAAUGAUCUAUAGCUGAUCUGAGAGGAUGAUCAGCCACACUGGAACUGAGAUACGGUCCAGACUCCUACGGGAGGCAGCAGUGGGGAAUAUUGGACAAUGGGCGAAAGCCUGAUCCAGCCAUGCCGCAUGAGUGAAGAAGGCCUUUGGGUUGUAAAGCUCUUUUAGUGAGGAAGAUAAUGACGGUACUCACAGAAGAAGUCCUGGCUAACUCCGUGCCAGCAGCCGCGGUAAUACGGAGAGGGCUAGCGUUAUUCGGAAUUAUUGGGCGUAAAGGGCGCGUAGGCUGGUUAAUAAGUUAAAAGUGAAAUCCCGAGGCUUAACCUUGGAAUUGCUUUUAAAACUAUUAAUCUAGAGAUUGAAAGAGGAUAGGGGAAUUCCUGAUGUAGAGGUAAAAUUCGUAAAUAUUAGGAGGAACACCAGUGGCGAAGGCGUCUAUCUGGUUCAAAUCUGACGCUGAAGCGCGAAGGCGUGGGGAGCAAACAGGAUUAGAUACCCUGGUAGUCCACGCUGUAAACGAUGAAUGUUAAAUAUGGGGAGUUUACUUUCUGUAUUACAGCUAACGCGUUAAACAUUCCGCCUGGGGACUACGGUCGCAAGAUUAAAACUCAAAGGAAUUGACGGGGACCCGCACAAGCGGUGGAGCAUGUGGUUUAAUCGAUGCAACG
rnacentral:rRNA from 1 species